rnacentral:rRNA from 1 species
UACGUAGGGCGCAAGCGUUGUCCGGAAUUAUUGGGCGUAAAGAGCUCGUAGGCGGUUUGUCGCGUCUGUCGUGAAAGCCCACGGCUUAACCGUGGGUCUGCGGUGGAUACGGGCAGACUAGAGGCAGGUAGGGGAGAAUGGAAUUCCCGGUGUAGCGGUGAAAUGCGCAGAUAUCAGGAGGAACACCGGUGGCGAAGGCGGAUCUCUGGGCCGUAACUGACGCUGAGGAGCGAAAGCAUGGGGAGCGAACAGG